rnacentral:tRNA from 1 species
GGACAGGUGGCCGAGUGGUUUAAGGCGCACGCCUGGAACGCGUGUGUACGUGAAAGCGUACCGUGGGUUCGAAUCCACCUUGUCCGCCA